rnacentral:rRNA from 1 species
UACAGAGGGUGCGAGCGUUUGUCCGGAAUCAUUGGGCGUAAAGGGCGCGUAGGUGGCGGGACAAGCGUGCGGUGAAAGCCUGGGGCUCAACCCCGGGUCGGCCGUGCGAACUGUUUUGCUUGAGCACUGUAGAGGCAGGCGGAAUUCCGGGUGUAGCGGUGGAAUGCGUAGAGAUCCGGAAGAACACCGGUGGCGAAGGCGGCCUGCUGGGCAGUAGCUGACACUGAGGCGCGACAGCGUGGGGAGCAAACAGG